GGCACACCUGGCAGUGCCAGGUAAUGCCCACCUGCCCCAGGUAACCCUCACCUGCCCCAGGUAAUGCCCACCUGCCCCAGGGCACACCUGGGGGCAGCAUCACCUGUGCAGGUGCUGGGAAGGGCCCCAAUCAAUGAAAUGUUCCUGGCUGGUGCUUCCCGAGCUCCCACCUGAGCUCCCACCUGGGCACCUCCCGCCCUUUGGAACCCAAUUUUUCCCCAAA